CUCCUCCACACAAUACCCCCAGCUCGGUCUCCAUAGCGCGCUGCACCUUAAGCGCUGGACCUCCCUUCAACACUCUGUCGCGCCCUACCUCUCUGCCCAACCCCACGACCACCUGUACCCUCCGAACAAUGUCGGAACGUCUCCUCAUGGCCGGUGCGGCGGAAUCGGUGUUCACCCGGGGGUGGAGCUCGCGGCAUGGCCGCCAUUGCCGCUGGGCAUAGAAAUUGGACCUCGCUACUUCACAAUAGUCGGUAAAUCCUGCACUGUCGUGUUCGCCAUGUCCCCAGCCUCGUAUUACAUCAACCAAUUUCGUGAAUCGGGCACUUGGCGUCGUACCAGGGGGGGUGCUCGCUGGCUUUCUCUGCCACGAGCGUAUUACCGUGGCCGCCUUCGGCCGGCGUGGGGAGGAAGAACUGGGUGGACCGUUGGAUGAAUAGUGGAUGACCCAGAUUGGAACCGCGUGUACCCCUUCGACUAGGAUUAAUCUGGGUCGUCGAUCCGUACGCCAGCGGUUUGGAUCUAAUCUAACGCGUAUUGUUUCGUUGAUCGGGUGCUGACCCUCGGAUUCGGAUCGGGUGGUCUGAGUGCUCAGGCGGCCGCGAUCUAAUCUAGAUGGUUGGAUCAGAUCGGGCGGCUGAGAUUGAAGCGUACCCCUUCGGCUGGGAUUUUAUGCAAAGGAGCCCCCGCAAAAUCCCAUAACCAACCCGCCAUCCGCGCAGUGAGAAUAUGAGUCUUGGAGAAAUAUACAAAUUAGCCCCUGCACUUCUUUGAUUUUGGCGCGCAGUCCAGAGGGAGAGAAAAAUAGAGAAAUAAAUAGGGAAAUUGAUUUUUAGUACAAAAAUAAAUUCAUAAACUUGUUUAAUUCAUAUUUAAUUCAUUCUAACUCCGAAUUAACCCAUUCCAGUUCCUAUAAUUUUGUAAUAUUAUUGUUUAUCAUUUAGUGCCACUGUUUUGACAUAAAAGGCACCUUAAAAUUGUUAUCUUAAUUAAUCUUGAACAAAGCACAUAAAAUCUUUAGAAAUCCAUAACUUAAAAUCUAUAACUCCAAAAUUAAUAAUUCCUGUUCCUGUGAUCUUAUUUUAAUGUCUAGAUUAUUACUGUGUAUUUUAUUUACAUGCUUGGUGUAAUGUUAAUUUUGCCUAUACCAUGUUUGUUUGUAUUGCUACGACUAGAGCGAGGAUACGUGUCAUCUGAAAAGCAAGUUGGUACCUGGAUUCUCAAGUCCCAGGCAAGUUGUGCCCUUGAUCACUUCUUUUUACCCACUCAUGUUCUAAUUAAUCAUAAUGAUCUGCAUAGGUUAAUUUUGAUGGGACCCAAUAGGUUACCCUAGUUUGAUUAUCUUUAUACCUUGUUUACCACUGAACUUUUUGGGUAGUACUUGCUAGUGCUUUAUGUGGUUUUGGGUAUGAAGAUACAUUAUUCAUGAUCACGCUUUUAUUAUCUGUUUAUUAUCACUGUUCAUGAUAAGAUCAUUAUGUUAAUUGGAACAUGGAGCGACCACCCGGGAAAACAGUGCUACCACAAGGGUUUAAUGGGACGCCCUUGGCUGAUUAAUUAGGAAAGCUAGUGGAGGACUACCUUACCCGAAAGGGGCAAGGGCAGUAGGGGAGUGGUCAGUGUAGGGAGGCCCUCGGGAGGAUUUUGCUGCGAUGGCGGUCCUGCAAGGGAUUCCUGCAUUGGAGCUUCCUAUAAACUGUAGCGGGUUUUCUGAAGCUAGUGGAACUUUGUAAAGGCCUCGUAGUGUUACCCUGCCUCGCCUCCUCGGUAGAGGUGUAUGGGAAGUCGCGAUCCCUUGGCAGAUGGGUAACAUGACUUGUGGGUAAAGAUGCGCAACCUCUGCAGAGUGUAAAACUGGUAUACUAGCCGUGCUCACGGUCAUGAGCAGCUCGGACCCUCACAUGAUUAAUUUAUGGAACUUAAAUUCAAUUUGUCAUAUGCAUUGCAUCGCAGGUGAUGUUGUUACUUCUGUUCUACUAUUUAAUUGGGUUGGUAUUUACUUAUACUUAGUAAUUGCUAAUAAAAUUUUGACCAACUUUAAAAGCAAUGCUCAGCUCUAACCAUCCGCUUUGGUAAGCCUUACACUUCACGUGAGCUCCCACCUUUGGCGAGUUCAUGCACAUUAUUCCCCACAACUUGUUGAGCGAUGAACGUAUGUGAGCUCACUCUUGCUGUCUCACACCCCCCACAGGUCAAGAACAGGUACCGCAGGAUGAGGCGCUUGGAGGAUGCUGCGAUGAGUUCGUAAGAGAGAUCUAGGCCGUCGUCUCCCAGUCAACUUUGGGUUGCUGGACCGUUGUCUCCUUAUAAUGUAAUUAUUUAUUUUGUAUAGAAUUCUUGUUAUGUAGUAAUGAUGUGACAUUCGAUCCUGUGCCAUGAUUCAUCAUAUGUGUGAGACUUGGUCCCAGCACACCUGGUGAUUAUGUUCGCGCCCGGGUCUUGGUGCCCCUGAAAUCCGGGUGUGACAGAAGUGGUAUCAGAGGAAUGUUGACUGUAGGACGAAACCUAGAUAGAACUGGACAACCAUUGUCUACUUACCUUUGCUACUCUGAUUCUUUCUAAACUUAUCUUAAUCCUUUCUCAUCUAAUUCCGCUUACUCUGAUUAUUCUUACCUUUUCCUUCUAAAGACAAAUGUGGAUUUCACACUUUGAAAUCUCGUGCCUAAAGUGAUCUUUAGGAAUAGGAGACCUAUUCUUAGGAACAAAAACAAAACUAUAUUUUUUUCUAUGUGUUUGAAUGUUUGUUCUUAUGAUACUUGUCUGAUUUGGAUCUUUGAUUGAUUGUGAUGGGUUGUAGAGUAAUGUCCAUAAUUACAUCUACAUAUACGUAUAGAUAUAAAUAAAUAAAAUUUAUAAGAUAACUACACAACCCAGAUUAUCCUCCAUUAAAAUGUAUCUAAUUUAAAUAAGAUCCAUCUUAUCUUAAAAGACUCUCUCUUAUCUUGAUAUAUUCAUCUUAUCUUAAUAUAUUCUCUCUUAUCUUAAUAGAUUAAUCUUAUCUUGUAGGAUUCAUCAUAUCCUAACCACUCUACUCAUCUCCUCCUAAAGCAACCACAAGGAUCUAAUCCAAAAUAAUAAGAUCUUAUCUAGUCUAAUCUAGUCACACGAAAAUAACUUAGAUGUGAUAGAUUGAUCUAACCUAACGAAGGCUAACCUCAAGUUGAGCUAAUCUCAUGUGAGCAAGUUGGAUAAUGCUGGUGGCAUAAAUUAGACCCUACCCCUAUAAACAUGAUUAACCUAAACCGGUUCCCUAUAUUAGCUCAGCCAUAUACAAGUACUUGACUGAUGCGUUGGGUUGCAAAAUCUGUAUAGAUCAACAUAUAAAAUUAUAAGCACCCAAGAUUUUCAACUAUCAUAACUUAUCCUACUCACAUCUACCUACUUGUCCCUAAUUUGGAUAACAACUCCAAGGAUGAAGACCAAAGAUGAUCGACCUCAUCAAAUCAAGGAAAGAUAGGAUUCAAGCCGGAUCUUAAAGGAACCAAGAUCCAUAGUUCUAGAUGAAGUUUGUCCUUAUUAUACCCUUGCCAUAACCGUGCCUCAUUUGACCUAAUAAAUGGCUAGACCUACAAUAUUCAUAUUUUCCAAAUCAUCUACUAAUUGUUAUGUAAAAACUUGAACAAAACUUUGAUUCCCAAAACCAAAUAAGAAACUAAAAUUCUAAACCAAACUUAUUGUAUCCCUUUUCUUACAAAUCUCGGGGACGAGAUUUCUCUUAAGGGGGGUAGGAUUUGUAAUACCCACUUUGUGAGAAAAGUCUAGAAAGAGAAAUUAUAUUACUUUAUAUCUAUAUGUGUUAUCUAUGUUUCUCAUUUCGUGUGAACACCAUAUUCAAGAACAAAUGAUUAAUAAAAAGAUAUACUAAUAAAUUGUGCAUCAUGCUGAAUUUUAAUUUUUGUGUGCAUUUUAUGAUAAAUAAAAAUGAUGUUACAAGAAUUGGAAUAAAGUCCAAAGUAGAAUUUGGCAAUCUAAAAGAAACCCUAGAAAAGGAAAGAAAAUGUUAAUGUGAGUGAAAAUAAUAUAAAGUAAAUAAAUAUAAAUUUACCCAUACUAGUGUUUAUUUUGUAAUUUUAAUUUGAGUGCAAGUUCACAUUUGAAUUCAAAAUUUGAAUCAAAGAGAUUAUAAAAGGGGGAAAGAAAAAUAUAAAAGAAAAGAACAGGAAAAGCUGAAACAGGAACUGGGCCAAAACCCUAGCUGCGCGGCCCAUCUUCUUUCCCCACGCCGCUCAGCCCAGCCUCUCACACGCGACACACUUACAUGUGGGCCCCAUCUGUUAGGAGUGUCUUCUUCCUCCAGUUGUGACUUCUCCUCUGGCGCACCGCACUCCGUGAUCCUUGGCCACGUGACACCAUGGGCUCAGUCGCGCCACUCCUCCAACUCGGUCCCUGUUGUGCGGACGUGUGGGUCCGUCGCGUUGGUGCUCCCUUCAACCUCCGGACACCAGACCGGCUGCGCGGAUUCCGCGGGUCGCGCAACAGACAGCGCGCAAACGGCGGGCUCGAGCGGAUCUCGCCGUGUGGUUGUGAACGGAUGACUCCGCGUGUGCCGGGAGCCUCCCUGUUCAUCCUUCUUCUCCCCGUGCCCAUAAAUAGCGCCUGCCGAGCGGCUCCUCCACACAAUACCCCCAGCUCGGUCUCCAUAGCGCGCUGCACCUUAAGCGCUGGACCUCCCUUCAACACUCCGUCGCGCCCUACCUCUCUGCCCAACCCCACGACCACCUGUACCCUCCGAACAAUGUCGGAACGUCUCCUCAUGGCCGGUGCGGCGGAAUCGGUGUUCACCCGGGGGUGGAGCUCGCGGCAUGGCCGCCAUUGCCGCUGGGCAUAGAAAUUGGACCUCGCUACUUCACAAUAGUCGGUAAAUCCUGCACUGUCGUGUUCGCCAUGUCCCCAGCCUCGUAUUACAUCAACCAAUUUCGUGAAUCGGGCACUUGGCGUCGUACCAGGGGGGGUGCUCGCUGGCUUUCUCUGCCACGAGCGUAUUACCGUGGCCGCCUUCGGCCGGCGUGGGGAGGAAGAACUGGGUGGACCGUUGGAUGAAUAGUGGAUGACCCAGAUUGGAACCGCGUGUACCCCUUCGACUAGGAUUAAUCUGGGUCGUCGAUCCGUACGCCAGCGGUUUGGAUCUAAUCUAACGCGUAUUGUUUCGUUGAUCGGGUGCUGACCCUCGGAUUCGGAUCGGGUGGUCUGAGUGCUCAGGCGGCUGCGAUCUAAUCUAGAUGGUUGGAUCAGAUCGGGCGGCUGAGAUUGAAGCGUACCCCUUCGGCUGGGAUUUUAUGCAAAGGAGCCCCCGCAA
rnacentral:lncRNA from 1 species